rnacentral:rRNA from 2 species
CUCGAUGUUUAUGGGAGGUCUAGCCUGCCCACUGAAGGAGUUAAAGGGCCGCGGUAUUUUGACCGUGCAAAGGUAGCAUAAUCAUUAGUCUUCUAAUUAAAGGCUGGAAUGAAUGGCUGGACGAGGUAUUAGCUGUCUCUUUGGGAGAGAUUUGAAUUUAACUUUCUAGUGAAAAGGCUGGGAUAGUAUUGGAGGACGAGAAGACCCUAUAGAGCUUUACAUUUACUGUUACUUUAAUUGGUUUGGUUGGAGUUAGAUUUUGUGGCAGGAGUGUUUCGUUGGGGUGACGAGAAGAAAUAAGAAACUCUUCUUGGAAUGAGCCACAAAUUAGUGAUUGAUUGAUCCACUUUUAGUGAUUAGAAGACUAAGUUACCUUAGGGAUAACAGCGUAAUCUUUUUUGAGAGUUCUAAUCGACAAGAAGGGUUGCGACCUCGAUGUUGGACUAAGGGUGAUUCUUGGGUGCAGAAGUUCAAGGUUUAGGUCUGUUCGACCUUUGAAUCCUUA